UUUGAGAGACAUUUUUUAAUGGCACUUAGGAAUUAUGGCUGAAGUCCGGCCGUGGCAUUUGAUGUUGCUCAGGUCCCUUGAUGCCGAGAGUCUUCAAGCUGGUGUGAGUUGCAUCUUUUAAAACACCGACCGAAGGUUCAUGCUUGUCUCUUAAGCGCUGGGGAGGUGGGAACAGGAGAUCUCUUGGGCCUGCUGGCCAGCAAGCCCAGUCUAAUACUGGGUGAACCUGAAGCCAGUCCCCGGCUUCCAAAAUAAGGUGGACGGCA
ensembl:sense_intronic Gm15961 predicted gene 15961